rnacentral:rRNA from 1 species
UGGGGAAUUUUGGACAAUGGGCGCAAGCCUGAUCCAGCAAUGCCGCGUGAGUGAAGAAGGCCUUCGGGUUGUAAAGCUCUUUUGUCAGGGAAGAAACGGUUCGGGCCAAUACCCUGGGCUAAUGACGGUACCUGAAGAAUAAGCACCGGCUAACUACGUGCCAGCAGCCGCGGUAAUACGUAGGGUGCAAGCGUUAAUCGGAAUUACUGGGCGUAAAGCGUGCGCAGGCGGUUGUGCAAGACCGAUGUGAAAUCCCCGGGCUUAACCUGGGAAUGGCAUUGGUGACUGUACGGCUAGAGUGUGUCAGAGGGGGGUAGAAUUCCACGUGUAGCAGUGAAAUGCGUAGAGAUGUGGAGGAAUACCGAUGGCGAAGGCAGCCCCCUGGGAUGACACUGACGCUCAUGCACGAAAGCGUGGGGAGCAAACAG